GUUUGAUCCUGGCUCAGAUUGAACGCUGGCGGCAUGCCUUACACAUGCAAGUCGAACGGCAGCACGGGAGCAAUCCUGGUGGCGAGUGGCGAACGGGUGAGUAAUACAUCGGAACGUGCCCAGUUGUGGGGGAUAGCCCGGCGAAAGCCGGAUUAAUACCGCAUACGACCUACGGGUGAAAGCGGGGGAUCGCAAGACCUCGCGCAAUUGGAGCGGCCGAUGGCAGAUUAGCUUGUUGGUGGGGUAAAAGCCUACCAAGGCGACGAUCUGUAGCUGGUCUGAGAGGACGACCAGCCACACUGGGACUGAGACACGGCCCAGACUCCUACGGGAGGCAGCAGUGGGGAAUUUUGGACAAUGGGCGCAAGCCUGAUCCAGCCAUGCCGCGUGUGGGAAGAAGGCCUUCGGGUUGUAAACCACUUUUGUCAGGGAAGAAACGGUCUGAUCUAAUAAAUCGGACUAAUGACGGUACCUGAAGAAUAAGCACCGGCUAACUACGUGCCAGCAGCCGCGGUAAUACGUAGGGUGCAAGCGUUAAUCGGAAUUACUGGGCGUAAAGCGUGCGCAGGCGGCUAUGCAAGACAGAUGUGAAAUCCCCGGGCUCAACCUGGGAACUGCAUUUGUGACUGCAUGGCUAGAGUACGGCAGAGGGGGAUGGAAUUCCGCGUGUAGCAGUGAAAUGCGUAGAUAUGCGGAGGAACACCGAUGGCGAAGGCAAUCCCCUGGGCCUGUACUGACGCUCAUGCACGGAAGCGUGGGGAGCGAACAGGAUUAGAUACCCUGGUAGUCCACGCCCUAAACGAUGUCAACUGGUUGUUGGACGGCUUGCUGUUCAGUAACGAAGCUAACGCGUGAAGUUGACCGCCUGGGGAGUACGGCCGCAAGGUUGAAACUCAAAGGAAUUGACGGGGACCCGCACAAGCGGUGGAUGAUGUGGUUUAAUUCGAUGCAACGCGAAAAACCUUACCUACCCUUGACAUGUCUAGAAGUUUCCAGAGAUGGAUUCGUGCUCGAAAGAGAACUAGAACACAGGUGCUGCAUGGCCGUCGUCAGCUCGUGUCGUGAGAUGUUGGGUUAAGUCCCGCAACGAGCGCAACCCUUAUCAUUAGUUGCUACGCAAGGGCACUCUAAUGAGACUGCCGGUGACAAACCGGAGGAAGGUGGGGAUGACGUCAGGUCAUCAUGGCCCUUAUGGGUAGGGCUACACACGUCAUACAAUGGCCGGUACAGAGGGCUGCCAACUCGCGAGAGGGAGCUAAUCUCAGAAAACCGGUCGUAGUCCGGAUCGCAGUCUGCAACUCGACUGCGUGAAGUCGGAAUCGCUAGUAAUCGCGGAUCAGCUUGCCGCGGUGAAUACGUUCCCGGGUCUUGUACACACCGCCCGUCACACCAUGGGAGCGGGUUCUGCUAGAAGUAGUUAGCCUAACCGCAAGGAGGGCGAUUACCACGGCAGGGUUCGUGACUGGGGUGAAGUCGUAACAAGGUA
rnacentral:rRNA from 1 species